rfam:Macrostomum lignano unitig_25152, whole genome shotgun sequence.
AAAACGGCCCUUUUUGGGGCCAAAAAUUGUUUAAAAGUUUCCUAU